AAGUCGUAACAAGGUUUCCGUAGGUGAACCUGCGGAAGGAUCAUUAUUAAAACAAAACAUAUUUAUAAUUUAUUUAUUAUUUAUAUGUUGGUAUUAAUAAAUACACACAUUUAGAAAUGUAAUUUUUCUUUUUGAAAUUUAAUUUUUAGCAUUUCUAAAUUAUUUAAAAAAUUAAAUAUCAUUAUCGACUGAUUUUAAAAUGAAAUUUUAAAUUUUAAUUUUAAAUAAAGUUGAAAAAAAUAUAUAUAAAACGUUUUUGGUCUUACAAAAGAAAAGUCUUAAAAUAACUUUUAACGAUGGAUCUCUUGGCUCCUA
rnacentral:misc_RNA from 1 species